rnacentral:rRNA from 1 species
GUUCGGAAUUACUGGGCGUAAAGCGCACGUAGGCGGACUAUUAAGUCAGGGGUGAAAUCCCGGGGCUCAACCCCGGAACUGCCUUUGAUACUGGUAGUCUCGAGUCCGGAAGAGGUGAGUGGAAUUCCGAGUGUAGAGGUGAAAUUCGUAGAUAUUCGGAGGAACACCAGUGGCGAAGGCGGCUCACUGGUCCGGUACUGACGCUGAGGUGCGAAAGCGUGGGGAGCAACAGG